ACUCAACGCUGGCGGCGUGCCUCAGACAUGCAAGUCGAACGAUUAAAGCUCUCUUCGGAGAGUGUAUAGAGUGGCGCACGGGUGAGUAACACGUAAGUAAUCUACCCUCGAGUGGGGAAUAACAACCGGAAACGGUUGCUAAUACCGCAUAAUGCAGCGGCACCGCAAGGUGACAGUUGUUAAAGAUUUAUCGCUUGAGGAGGAGCUUGCGGCAGAUUAGCUAGUUGGUAGGGUAACGGCUUACCAAGGCUACGAUCUGUAACCGGUCUAAGAGGACGGUCGGUCACACUGACACUGAAUAACGGGUCAGACUCCUACGGGAGGCAGCAGUCGGGAAUUUUGGGCAAUGGGCGAAAGCCUGACCCAGCAACGCUGCGUGAAGGAUGAAGUAUUUCGGUAUGUAAACUUCGAAAGAAUAGGAAGAAUUAAUGACGGUACUAUUUAUAAGGUCCGGCUAACUACGUG
rnacentral:rRNA from 1 species